rnacentral:rRNA from 1 species
GACGAACGCUGGCGGCGUGCUUAACACAUGCAAGUCGAACGGAAAGGCCCUGCUUUUGUGGGGUGCUCGAGUGGCGAACGGGUGAGUAACACGUGAGUAACCUGCCCUUGACUUUGGGAUAACUUCAGGAAACUGGGGCUAAUACCGGAUAGGAGCUCCUGCUGCAUGGUGGGGGUUGGAAAGUUUCGGCGGUUGGGGAUGGACUCGCGGCUUAUCAGCUUGUUGGUGGGGUAGUGGCUUACCAAGGCUUUGACGGGUAGCCGGCCUGAGAGGGUGACCGGCCACAUUGGGACUGAGAUACGGCCCGGACUCCUACGGGAGGCAGCAGUGGGGAAUAUUGCACAAUGGGCGGAAGCCUGAUGCAGCAACGCCGCGUGCGGGAUGACGGCCUUCGGGUGGUAAACCGCUUUCGCCUGUGACGAAGCGUGAGUGACGGUAAUGGGUAAAGAAGCACCGGCGAACUACGU